rnacentral:rRNA from 1 species
AUUGAACGCUGGCGGCAUGCCUUACACAUGCAAGUCGAACGGCAGCACGGGAGCAAUCCUGGUGGCGAGUGGCGAACGGGUGAGUAAUAUAUCGGAACGUGCCCAGUCGUGGGGGAUAACGCAGCGAAAGCUGUGCUAAUACCGCAAACGAUCUAAGGAUGAAAGCGGGGGAUCGCAAGACCUCGCGCGAUUGGAGCGGCCGAUAUCAGAUUAGCUAGUUGGUGGGGUAAAGGCCCACCAAGGCGACGAUCUGUAGCUGGUCUGAGAGGACGACCAGCCACACUGGAACUGAGACACGGUCCAGACUCCUACGGGAGGCAGCAGUGGGGAAUUUUGGACAAUGGGCGCAAGCCUGAUCCAGCAAUGCCGCGUGCAGGAUGAAGGCCUUCGGGUUGUAAACUGCUUUGGUACGGAACGAAACGGCCCUUUCUAAUACAGGGGGCUAAUGACGGUACCGUAAGAAUAAGCACCGGCUAACUACGUGCCAGCCGCCGCGGUAACAC